GCGGUAGUAACUCAGCUGGUAGAGUGCCACCUUGCCAAGGUGGAUGUCGCGAGUUCGAAUCUCGUCUAUCGCUCCA
rnacentral:tRNA from 1 species